rnacentral:snRNA from 1 species
GUGACCAUAGGCAGCAGUCU